AUGAAAAUGGCCAAAAGUGAGACACACUUCUAUGUGUUGGAACCGAAUGAGAAACCUCAAGAUCUUCAUGACCGACUUAAGGCCCUUGCUGUGAAGCUUCAAAGCUUCAAGUGUGGAAAGUUUGAUGAUGGACUCAUCAUCACCAACCGGUUUCUUGUUGAGACGUUGUUGACAGCUCUUGCUCCUCACUAUGAUGGCAUGGUAUUUCACAUAAGACGCGAGUUUGGUUCUCCGAAGAUGAUCCCAGAUGAUGUGAUUGCUACUUUCAGGCAACAUGAAGAAUAUGUGUCCAAUGGGAAGAAAGGGCCGCCAUGA
rnacentral:rRNA from 1 species